rnacentral:ncRNA from 2 species
GCUGUUCUCACAGCGUGGUGGACUGCCGGGGCCAAUGGGCGGCAGCAGAGGAAGCCGGUGCGAAUCCGGCGCGGUCCCGCCACUGUCACCGGGAACCCCCGGAAGCCAGGAACUCUCGCCGCCGAUCACGUCGAA